rnacentral:rRNA from 1 species
UGAAGCGGAGCAAAUCUCAAAAACCGGUCCCAGUUCGGAUUGUAGGCUGCAACUCGCCUACAUGAAGCUGGAAUCGCUAGUAAUCGCGAAUCAGCAUGUCGCGGUGAAUACGUUCCCGGGUCUUGUACACACCGCCCGUCACACCAUGGGAGUUGGUAACGCCCGAAGUCAGUGACCUAACCGCAAGGGAGGAGCUGCCGAAGGUGGGGCCAGUAACUGGGGUGAAGUCGUAACAAGGUAUC